rnacentral:lncRNA from 1 species
GAUUAUUUAUUGAAUUUUUUACUUAAUUAAUUAUUUAAAUUUAUUACUAUAAAUAAUAAAUUAAUUCCUAAUUUAUUAGUUAUAGUUUUCAUAUUUUUAUUCGGAAACCCCCUAUAUUCUUGCCUAACUUCCUUCUAUAAUGAUCUAGCUUAUUUCCAAUACCUACACAGAAAUGGAAAUCUAGCAAUAGAAAACAAACAAGUAAACAUC